CUACUAGGAAAUGUGGAGCUUAAGAAGUAUGGGAGGAGUGCAGUCUGGCAGUGUCCGCAGCCAUGGCUGUAUUGUGUCUCCUGAGGAAAGAAAGCCAUGUGGAUAGCUGGGAUCUUCUGUGAAGAAAGGAAGGAAGAGAGAAGAGGAAUCUAAGACGUGAAGAGCAACAUUUAGAAUUUUGGUGGUGGAGGAAGGACAACAAAAUGCAAGAAGCAAGAAGUCCAGAGGAAGAGUGGAUCCAGGAUCCAGGUUCUCUCACUGUCCUGCUCUGCCAAACACAGUAGUUAGCUUCAUCUUUGGCUGGUUCCCGUCACAGGUAGAAGGUGGCUGCCUUGGUUCCUGGAGUCCCGUGCAAACCUAACUAUGCCUCACAAAAGACAGGAAGAGGGAAUUCUUUCUCUUUUGGUCUUAUUGUAACAGUGAGGAAAACUUUUUUAGAAGCCUUCCAGCAGAGCUUUCCCACAUCUCACUGGCCAGAAUGAGGUCACAGGCUGCUACUGAAACCAGACUCUGAGAAGGGGAAUGGGAUGACAAUGACAGACUUAGGUUAACCAAGAAUUACCCUAAAUCCUAUCAUGGAAGGAUCAUUACCCAAGCAAGGUUAGGGCCUUGUAGCAAGGAGGAUGGAGGAAAUAGCUGUCAGCUGGGCAGCCAGCAGUGCCUACUACAAAUGACAAUUAUGGAGUCAGAUAUUGGCUAGACAAUAUAUCACUAAUCUUUAUAUCAGGCUUAUCCUUCAUCAGUACAAGAAAUGGUCAUGAUAUCAUGUAAGACAAAUUGCAAAAAUCUUCAAUGAAACAAUACUGUUAGACCCAUACAUCCCAGCUGGCAGGAGGACAAAUUCCAAGUAGAUCGUAGAAUCAAAUGUGAAAACAUUACUACUAUUUAAAUGAACACAUUGGAGAACUCUAUAGUAAUCUUGGAGUAGAAGAAGCCUUUCUAUGACUCAAAAUCAAGAAGCCAUAAAGAGAAAAAAUACAACAUGGAAUGAAAAUAUCAGCAUAGAAAGAUAGGCAGAGGAUAUAAAUAUCCAACGGGCAAGAAAAAAAGCCUACAAAUGUGUCUUAAACAUAAGAAAUGUUCAAUUUCAUGUGAUUCAGAUUAAGGAAAACAAAAAUUAAAACUAUCCUGAGAUAUACCAUUUUCAGUUAUCUGAUUGGCAAGAGUUUGAUAACACUCUGUUGGCAAGGUUGUAGGGAAAAAGUCACUCUCAUGGAGCCAAAGAGAGUAUGAACUGGAAUAACUCCUGUAGAGGGCAAUUUAACAGUACACGCCAAAGGCCUAAAUCCUUUAAUUCAGUAAUUCUGUUCCUGAAAAUACAUCUGUAGAUUCUACAGAGUCUGCAUUUUACAGAUGUACUUGAUUACAUGAAAAAAGAUUUUUCAGGGCUAAUGUUUAACUGAAACAUACCCAUAAGACCCAACUGGUUAGUUCUUGGCCAGUAUCCAACCAAAAAGGUUAAUAUCUAUCAUGUUCUUGAUUUUAAAAAUUGUAAAUAUUACCCCUUUGGCAUUUAGAAGUCUAUUUAUUGGAGAAAAGUACUGGGGACAACUCAAAUGGCCAACAAACGUGGACUGACAUGCAACUAUGCAAAAGGAUGAGUAGCUAUCUGUAUAUAGUGACAUGAAAAGAUCUCCAAAAUCUAAGAUUAAGUUAAAAAAGGAAAGUGCCUAUUAGUUUGUGUAAUACUCCAACUUUUGUAUAAAAAGAAAGGAAAAAUAAGUCUUACUUUAUAAAAAAACAAGCGUAAUUAUAUUUGCUUAUAAAAACAUGAAGCUCUGAAAGAAACACAAAAAACAGAUUGCCUGAAUUCAUGGUAUGGCAAAUGAGGAAGAUGAAAGACAG